GCAUUGCUGAAGAGUCCCAAACUAGGACGAAACAGCUGUCCAGUAC
rnacentral:hammerhead_ribozyme from 1 species